rnacentral:rRNA from 1 species
GUAGGCAGCGAGCGUUGUUCGGAGUUACUGGGCGUAAAGCGUGCGUAGGCGGUUCCACAAGUCUGUUGUGAAAUCUCCCGGCUCAACUGGGAGGGUGCGGUGGAAACUGUGGGGCUGGAGUAUGGGAGAGGUAGGCGGAAUUCCUGGUGUAGCGGUGAAAUGCGUAGAUAUCAGGAGGAACACCGGCGGUGUAGACGGCUUACUGGACCAUCACUGACGCUGAGGCACGAAAGCGUGGGGAGCAAACAGGAUUAGAUACCCUGGUAGUCCACGCCCUAAACGAUGCAUACUUGGUGUGGGCAAUUCAUUUUGUCCGUGCCGGAGCUAACGCGUUAAGUAUGCCGCCUGGGGAGUACGGUCGCAAGGCUGAA